AGCGAACGCUGGCGGCAGGCCUAACACAUGCAAGUCGAGCGAAGUCUUCGGACUUAGUGGCGGACGGGUGAGUAACACGUGGGAACGUGCCUUUAGAAUCGGAAUAACUCAGGGAAACUUGUGCUAAUACCGAAUGUGCCCUUCGGGGGAAAGAUUUCUCGCCUUUAGAGCGGCCCGCGUCUGAUUAGCUAGUUGGUGAGGUAAAGGCUCACCAAGGCUACGAUCAGUAGCUGGUCUGAGAGGAUGACCAGCCACAUUGGGACUGAGACACGGCCCAAACUCCUACGGGAGGCAGCAGUGGGGAAUCUUGCGCAAUGGGCGAAAGCCUGACGCAGCCAUGCCGCGUGGAUGAUGAAGGUCUUAGGAUUGUAAAAUCCUUUCACCGGUGAAGAUAAUGACUGUAGCCGGAGAAGAAGCCCCGGCUAACUUCGUGCCAGCCGCCGCGGUAAUAC
rnacentral:rRNA from 1 species